GCGCCGGCUCCCCACUCGUGGGCCCAGGCCCCAUGGCCGACGCGGUAGGCAGGAGACUUCGAGACUCAUUCCGUCUGCACGGUCGGACACAAAGGCAGGCGGCGGUGGCGGCAGGACCACUAUCAGUGCCCUCAGGGAAGAAAAAGUGUCGGAAGAGCCAGCGGAGCGCAGGAGAAGCGCGAAACUGGGAGAAACCGCCGAGACGUUGCGUGGGGAGGAGGCGAGGGGGAGCGGCUUCCCGCUCAACUGCGCGCGUCACUCUGGCUCCCUGAGGCAAGUGCCGGGCCCCGGACUGUGCGUUCCCUUCGGCUCUAGGGAUCUCCGCGGCCCCAAGAGGCUUCUCGGAGCGCCAACCUGGCCCCGCCGUUCCCACUAUGGUCGGGCACUACCCCAGCCUCGGCUCGCUCGCCGCCUCCCUCUUAACUGCCUCUGGCCGCGGCUGGCGUCCGCGGCGUCGGUGACGUCGACGUGGGGGCGGGACUUCCUGCUUCGCGCGCCCUUCGGUCUCGGGACUCAGCCCGCUCUGCGGGGUUUGAAGGGUGGCGGGCGGCGGGCUCGGGGUUGUUUCCUAGUCGGACUUCGGCUCCGGCCCCGCACCCCAGAGAAGGCCAGUCCACCGAGGAGGAGCGGGGUUUAUCUCCAUUGCUGCCACUGCCUUUUUCGCCUUCGGAGCUCUCUCGGGAUACCCCACAUUUCCAGGGGUCGGGAGCCCGAGGGGCGCUCUUGGCCCUGCGGCUCCUGCUCUUCAGCCUGCGCCGCGAGCGGCCGCCGAGACCUCGCCAGGCGUGACGGGCUGGGCCUGCACCCCGCGUCCGGGACCGUCUCCCGUGGCCCCAGUGCCCCGGCGGGAAGAGUGCCGUAGGCUCCCGUGGCUGGAGCAGUGGAGGUGUCCACCUGGAGAGUGCGGCCGGAACACCGGUCACUGUUAAGUUUUCUGUGCGCACGUUGCAAGGUCCGAGUGUGAGUCUGAGUAUGGAUUUCGUACCAGAAUCCACUCUUGAAGUUUACCUCAGUAACUUCAGGAAACAUUGGUGAUUUGUGACUCUGGGACUACCUAUACUGGAAGAGUCGUUACAUCUAGUUAGGCUAAUACUUGAAGAUACGACCUUGAUGGGCACAGAAACUGCAUGGAGUAAAGAAAAUUUAAGGUAUAAUUUGGCCUCCCGAGAUUCUGUCUUAGCACGAAGAAAGUGAAAAAUACUCUUGAAAAGAAAACUAAGACAAUAAGAAAGCAAGACUUGCUUUUACAUGGUUGUCAGCUCACUUACCAAUAUGGACACUUUUCCCACCAUUUUUCCUCCUGGUGGAGACAGUGGGCUGACAAGUUCUCAAUCUGAGUUCCAAAAAAUGUUAAUUGAUGAACGGUUACGAUGUGAACAUCAUAAAACUAAUUAUCAGACUCUGAAAGCUGAACACACAAGGUUGCAGGAUGAGUACAUAAAGUCACAAAAUGAGCUCAAGCGCCUAUUAAAUGAAAAGCAAACUCACCAGGAAAAAUUUCAGCUGCUGCUUGAAGAGCUACGAGGGGAGUUAGUAGAGAAAACUAAAGACUUAGAAGAAAUGAAGCUGCAGGUAUUAAGUCCACAGAAGUUGGAAUUGUUACGAGCUGAAAUACAACAAGAACUAGAAACUCCAAUGAGAGAAUGUUUUAGGCAUCUGGAUGAAGAAGUAGAAAAGUAUAGAGCUGAAUAUAAUAAACUUCGCUAUGAGCAUACAUUUCUCAAAUCAGAAUUUGAACACCAGAAAGAAGAAUGUGCACGUAUUUUAGAAGAAGAAAAAAUAAAAUAUGAAUCAGAGAUUGCAAGACUGGAGAAAGAUAAAGAAGAACUACAUAACCAGCUGCUUAGUGUUGAUCCCACAAGAGACAGCAAACGAGUGGAGCAACUUGUUCGAGAAAAAGUCCAUUUGUGUCAGAAAUUAAAAGGUUUAGAGGCUGAAGUAGCAGAAUUGAGAGCUGAAAAAGAAAAUUCUGGUGCUCAGGUAGAAAAUGUCCAGAGAAUUCAGGUGCGGCAGUUGGCUGAGAUGCAGGCUACAGUCAGAUCCCUGGAGGCUGAAAAACAGUCAGCUAAACUACAGGCUGAACGCUUGGAAAAAGAGCUACAAUCAAGCAAUGAACAAAACACUACUUUAAUUAGUAAAUUGCAUAAAGCUGAACGGGAAAUAAAUACAUUGACCAGUAAAGUAAAAGAACUUAAACAUUCAAACAAACUAGAAAUAACAGACAUCAAACUGGAGGCAGCAAGAGCUAAGAGUGAACUAGAAAGAGAAAGGAAUAAAAUUCAAAGUGAACUGGAUGGAUUACAGUCAGACAAUGAAAUUCUCACAUCAGCUGUUGAACACCACAAAGUGCUUUUAGUAGAAAAGGACCGUGAAUUAAUACGUAAAGUACAAGCUGCCAAAGAAGAAGGUUACCAAAAACUUGUGGUAUUACAAGAUGAAAAGCUAGAACUUGAGAGCAGAUUAGCGGAUUUAGAGAAAAUGAAAGUGGAACAUGAUGUCAGGAGGCAAUCUGAAAAGGAUCAGUGUGAAGAGAGAUUGCGAGCUUCACAGAUGGCAGAAGAGUCGGCCAGGAGGGAACUUCAGAGUAUUAGGUUAAAACUUCAACAACAAAUUGUGAAUAUUGAAAAUGCAGAGAAAGAAAAAAAUGAAAAUUCUGACCUGAAACAGCAAAUCAAUAGUUUGCAGAUCCAAGUGACCUCACUUGCACAGUCAGAGAAUGAGUUGCUGAAUUCAAACCAAACACUGAAGGAAAUGGUGGAGAGGUUAAAACAGGAAUGCCGAAAUUUAAGAAGCCAAGCUGAAAAAGCACAACUAGAAGUUGAAAAGGCAUUGGAAGAGAAGCAAGUACAGUGGUUGGAAGAAAAGCAUAGGCUUCAUGAACGUAUCACUGACAGAGAAGAAAAGUAUAAUCAAGCUAAGGAGAAAUUGCAGCGAGCUGCAAUUGCCCAAAAAAAGGCAAGUGACUAAGACAACACUUCACAAAAAAAGGAAAUCCAGAUGGUCAGUAUGCAUAAGAAAAGGUAAUCACCCUCAUUAGCUAACAGGAAAAUGCACAUUAAAGCUACAGUGACAUAUUAUUCUAUUCCACCAGAGUAGCUAAAAUUUUAAAAGACCGACCACACCAAGUGUUGGUAAGGAUGUAGAGCAAUUAGAACUGUUGUAUAUUGCUGGUGGGCCUGUAAUUAGUAAUUAGUUAGAACCACUUUAGAAAACUGACAGUUUUUACUAAAGAUAAAACAUAUGUAUACUGUAUGACUCAUUCCUCGGUAUAUACUCAAAGAGAAAUGAGGACAUAUAUCUACCAAAAGCAUAUUCAGGAAUGUUCAUAAAACUUGAUUCAUAGUAGCUUCAAAGUAGAAAACAAUUCAAAUUCUUAUCAGUAGGAGAAGGGAUAAAAUAUAGUGUGUUUGUAAAAUGGAUAACAGCAUAACAGUAGAGAGGAACUGUGACAUGCAAUAACAUGGCUUAGUCAUAGGGAUAAAAUGUUGAACAACCACCAAAAAAUCCAGAAACAGAAGUGUAUAUAGUGUAUGAUUUCUUUGAUGUGGGCAGGUGAAUGAAUAGACAGAGUCCUGAGUCACCUGUACAUAUAUACAUACUUGUGCUAAUAAAGGACAGAAGGGUGGUUCCUGGGCCAGGGUAGGCGAUGAAUGAGCUAUACCCGUAAGCAGUAACAUGAAUAAAUCUCGCAGUAUUGAGUGAAAGAAAAAAGCCAUCUGUAAAAGAAUGUGCACUGUGACUCCAUUUGUAUGAAGUUCAAAAAUACACAAAACUACAGCUUUGGAAGUAAAUUAGUUGGUUACCUUUUCAGAGGACAGAGGGGGUAGAGAUUGAAAGGAGGGAAGGGUAGGGGCCCUUUUGGUACGGCAGUGCUCUUGACCUGUGAGGUAACAACACCAGCAUUUGCUUCGUGGUUUUACAUUUUGCUUUACAUUUACAUUAUGUGCAUUUUUCUGUAAGCCUGUUAUACUUAGGUAAAGAGUUAGAAACCAGAAAUCUAAAAGGUCUGGAGCUACUAAGUGAGGGUCAACAUUUAUAGGUGUUUUUCUGUAAAAAAUAAAAUAAAAACGACCUGUUUAUAAAACUGAAAAAGUGUUACCUUUUUUCAUUUACUACUUUUGCAUUAUACAUAGAUUUUUCCAUAUUAGAAAAUUUUCCCUUUAUGAAGUUUAAAUUUUUUUCUUUUUAAUAUUUAGAAAGGCAUGCUUUCAAACUGAGAUGCAUCCAUAAUCAAUCUUAUCUGUCUGAUCCUUUAAUUUACUACUUUGGUAGCAAUUUAUCAGUUGCAAACAUGCUUUUAAAUUUUAAAUUUAUAGUUGUUUUAAACCCAUGAUAAUCGUCUGGGAAAAUGAACAGUCACGAUUAUGAGGUGACAGGUAAACUCAUUAGUAAAACUUGACUCCUUCCCUUCCUAGAUUUUUUAUUUGCACAAUUUCCUUAUUGAUAUCAAUUUUCUGGCUUGACAUUUAUAAUGGUUCUGUUUGUCACGUUGAGGAUAUGAGGUAGAUCUGUGUUUUAUUACCUUUAAAAUUUUUAGUAAGCAUCAUAUCUACUAAUCUUUGCUCCUAGUAUUCCCUGAAAAUACUCAUCUCUAAGUAAAAUUUUUUUGGUGAGUAAAAUAUUCACUAUAUAGCUUUGUUCAAAUAGGAGAGUAUGUAUUACCAUACUUGCUCAUAUUAAUUGUUUCUCUUUUUCUAGAGAAAAUCUCUCCAUGAAAACAAGUUGAAGAGAAUGCAGGAAAAGGUAGAAGUCUUGGAGGCAAAGAGAGAAGAAUUAGAAACAGAAAAUCAGGUGUUAAAUAGACAAAAUGUUCCAUUUGAAGAACAUACAAGGCUUCAAAAAAGACUA